rnacentral:lncRNA from 1 species
CCAGGUGUGCUGGGCAGAGCACACAUUGCUUAGUGCCAGUGUCACAAGGAUGGUGAUAUUUACACGGGAUGAGGGACGACACACACAGAGAUGUAAGGGUAGGAGCUGACCAGAACAGCCGUGGUAUCUUCAUGACAGCACACACAGGCAAUGCCAUUGGACUGUGGAGGUCCCGUGGUGCUGGGCACAGCUGGGGGCACAGACCCAGGUUGAGGACCCCUGAGACCUCGUGUGCCCAAGUGGAGGGACAAAACUGGGGAUCCAUGAGGACAUAUGUGCAAAAUUGAACGGUGUGAGAACUCUAUUCCAGGGUGUGUAUGUAAGGAGAGGGCACACAUACACGUAUAAGACACACAAAUGGAAACAUGGGAACAUUGGAGCUAGUGAGGAGACCAGAGCAGCAGGUCAGGGACAGGUGCGUGGGUUCAUGCAGCCUGUGCAGAGCCAAUGACAGACCCCGGUGAGAGCCCAGGACCGAGGUCCCACAUUGGAGAGUCCACGGGGGGACAAGGAAGGCCCCAACUGAGGAAGAUCUGAUUCCACUGAAAACACAGGGUCUCCUCUGCUCACACGGGUGUGAGCCCAUGUAUAAACGGUGAAUGUCCAGGCACCAGCUGGAGGAGGCCCAGACAUCUGAUGGAGGAGGCCCAGACAUCUGAUGGAGGAGGCCUAGGCAUCUGAUGGAGGAGGCCCAGGCAUCUGAUGGAGGAGGUCUAGACAGUGGCUGGAAGAGCCUGGGCAUCAGAUGGGUCCUCAGGCCUCACUACUGCUGCCACUGCCCCCUCUGCUGCUGCCUCGCUCCACCCACACAAGGCGAGCCUGUUCCUGCAAGAUUCGGCCACGCACCACCUUGGCCAGCUCCUCUGCAUGGCCCCACGCAUGCGCAGGCACCUGCACCCAGGAACACGGCAGUCCCCAGAGCCACUGUUCUGAGCCCCGACACUGACGGAGCAGUUCUGAAUCCCGCCAGCCCGGCCGGCCCAACAGGCCCCUGCAGAGGAAGAGGGUGAUC